rnacentral:rRNA from 1 species
AUACGAAAGGUGCAAGCGUUGUUCGGAUUUACUGGGCGUAAAGAGAGUGUAGGUGGUUUAUUAAGUCGGAUGUGAAAUCCCGGGGCUCAACCUCGGAACUGCAUUCGAUACUGAUAGGCUAGAGUUUGGGAGGGGUAAGCGGAAUUCCGUGUGUAGCAGUGAAGUGCGUAGAUAUACGGAGGAACACCUGAGGCGAAGGCGGCUUACUGGACCAAUACUGACACUGAGACUCGAAAGCGUGGGUAGCAAACAGGAUUAGAAACCCUUGUAGUCC